rnacentral:pre_miRNA from 1 species
CGGGGAAGCGCAGGAUACUGGGCUGUGUCUGCUCCGCGCCCUGGGCUCCGGGGCCUGUGCUGCUGGAAUCGUGCUCCUGGCCAUGCAGCCCCCA